rfam:Schistosoma mattheei strain Denwood, Zambia genome assembly, scaffold: SMTD_contig0000275
AUCCAGCUGAUGAGUCCUGAAUAUGACGAGACGCGCGUCCUGGAU